rnacentral:rRNA from 1 species
UACGAAGGGGGCUAGCGUUGUUCGGAAUUACUGGGCGUAAAGCGCACGUAGGCGGGUCGUUAAGUCAGGGGUGAAAUCCCGGAGCUCAACUCCGGAACUGCCUUUGAUACUGGCGAUCUAGAGGUCGAGAGAGGUGAGUGGAAUUCCGAGUGUAGAGGUGAAAUUCGUAGAUAUUCGCAAGAACACCAGUGGCGAAGGCGGCUCACUGGUCCGGUACUGACGCUGAGGUGCGAAAGCGUGGGGAGCAAACAGG